UAAAAACGUCUAUUUGAUUUUUUACAUCAAAUCAGACAACAAAUUAAUAUGGUGUUUAAAGAUGAUUUUAAUCUGAGUGAAACAGAAUCAGAAUAUUUUAGUGGUACUGAUGAAACUUCUGAUGAUAGUUUCAAUGAAGUGUCCGAUCCUUUUUACGAGGGAGACAAUGAAAGUAACAGCUACGAUGAACAAAUAAUAAUUUCAGGUUCUGGUUCUUCAACUUAUGAACAAUUAAUAGAUGAUGAUUUUCUCGUUGAAUCUAAACGAGAUGAUUGUUGUAGCACAGGUUGCAGUAUUGACAGUGAAGGUGAAUUCGAAAUAAACAAAGAAAAUGGAAAUGAUGUUGAAGCAAUAUUGGAAGGAAUAGAAGAAUAUACAGAAGAAAGUAGCAGUCAAGAUUCAAGUGAUUCUUUCGACGACGGUUCAGAUUCGGACUAUGAUGAGGAAUUCAUUUCCUUGAUAAUAAGGAACACUAAAUAUCAACUCAAGAAAAUGAUGAUGGCGUUAACUCCAAUGAUGAUGAGGAAAUCAUAAACUUAUACAUUUUUAAACAUACCUUUAUUUCUUUAUAUUACAUACAUACGGUUACAAAUGAAGAACUUUAUGAUAAAUGAAUCGUUAAAAUGGCUGAUUUUAAAAAACGAAAAUUCUACUAUUUUCAUUUAAAUUAGCAAAGAAUGUAUCAGUAUGCCUCAUAGCAAUUAUAACUAUUAUAAGUUUUAAGUGGUACCUAAGAGCGUAGAUAUAGGGUGGGAGGGAUGUAAUUACCCACCCCCAGACAAUAAAAAUAUAAAAUGACCUGAAAUUAAAUUUGUCAGUGCAGUGCAAGAUCCCAUCCGGAGCACAUGCAUAUUGAUAAAGUAUCAGAUUAUUAUUUAAAAGGCGGAAAACGAAUUUAAUUAAAAUUUCACGUGCAAACUCAUUCAGCGCAUCGGAUUUCGAGGCAUUUUUCGCUAAAAUGUCCGAUCCAACUUCAAAAACAUCGCAGAAAAGUACCGAAGAUUCAACGGACGACGAUCCUUCAUUUAAGAAACCUAAAAAUAGAAAACGGAAAAAGAAAGGUAUGGAAAAAACCGACAACAAAAAAGUGAAUGAUAACAAAACUCCUGAAAGAGAAAUACCACAUAUGGAACCACAAAAGAAGAUUCAAGAUAACGACGAAAUCGUGCAUAUGGAAACAGAAACAAUCAACACCACACAAAUCGCUUCUACUUCUAAAGGUCCCCAUACCCGCCAGGAUGGCCUCCAGGCCGGAUCACAUACAAACACAAAUAUCAAAACAAACAUAAAGAAUUACUCAACAAGAAUGCUUGAAAUAAGCAAAGCAGAAUACAAACAUCUUUUCUAUCUCGCGGUAGACGAAAACCUAAUAACAGACAGGAUUAAAAUGGCAGAUGAGUGGAACAAAAAAUUUCCUAAUUCCACAGAUAUUGUUAUAAAAACUAAAUUAGGUUACCUAAUCAAAUCCAAUAAUGAGAAAGAGAAAUUAAUAAAAGUGUUGGAAGAAAUGAAAAAUGAAAAAGUCAUUUCAGGACACAAAGAAACUAAACCCUACAUCCAGGGAAAAGUGAGAACAGAACCACAACAAUCUUUCUCAGUAAUAAUAACAGGUGUUGAAAAAAAUAUAAAGGAUGAAGAAAUCAGUCAACACCUGAAUGAACUGAACUUGAAACACAGAUUCUGCAGAAGAAUCACUUCUAGAGCAUUUAAUACACCCACAACUUAUAUAAGAAUAAUCACAGGUGAAGCUACAACAUCUGAAAAACUUCUCAAUGAUGGAUUGUUCUUCAAAAAUAGACACUACUUGGUAUACACAAGCCAUCCACCUGAACCCAUGCCUGUUCCAUGCAGCAAAUGCUGCCAAUUUGAUCAUAUUACAGAAAAAUGCACCCAACAAGUAAAAUGUAACAAAUGUAAUGGCAAUCACAAAACAACACAAUGCAAAACAAAUCUUGCACCAAAAUGUAGUGCAUGCGGUUCUGAGGAACAUCUUGCAUGGUCAACCAAAUGUCCCAAACACCCCAAAAAACCCAUCGAAGGCAUACCAAACGUUACCAUAGGAACUCUCAACAAAAAAACCAGAGAAAUAGAAGAUUUACACAAAAAAAGCAACAGAAUUCAUGCUCCUCUCACUAUCCAUGACGAUAUCAUUAACACAUACACCAGAAAGUUGAACAAACCCAAAAACACCAACAGAGAUGAACUUCUAGACAAACUGAAAAGAAGAUUCCUCUCACAAUAUAAAAUCGAUACUACGGCAGUCUUUUCAGGCAACCGAAUAUAUAUACUUAUGUUUGAUGUGGAGGAUCCUAACGAACCCUCGCCAACAGAACCAGUAGACAAUAAUAUUAACCGGCAAGUUCAACUCGAAAAUUAAAAUCCUCUACAAUAACAUUAAUAGUUAUACACCAAAAAAAUACCUGAUUAAUAAUUUCAUAGAAGAGAACGAGAUACAAUGUGCAAUGUCUGUAGAAGCCAAAAUAAAAAAAGAUCAUAACAUCGCAUACAGAGACUGGGACGUCAUACAUCGGGUGGGUCACACAGUUGAUAAUACACGUGGAGGUAGCAUUGUACAGUGCCAUCCCGGUUUAAAAAUGGGUAAGAACAAUUCUCCUGCACUGAAUAACAAUUUCAAUGAAACAUUGCAUUUCACAAUCCCUUUCAAAGAAGAUAAAUUACACAUAUUUUUAAUAUAUAUUCAUCCACACUCAAAAAUUGAGGAAACUAUAUUUACGAAAGCAGCUCUGUAUAAAUAUUCAAUAAUAAUAGGAGACUUCAACCCCAACCAAACAAAAAACAAACAAAUAAAUAAAUUUCUUCAAAAUGGUACCUUCAAAAAAUUAAUUACGCCUCCAACGUUUUUAAUGGACAAUAACCCGGACAGUACACCAGACUUAUUACUUUACUCCUCAAAUCUGGAAAAUAACAUCAAAGACAUACUACUUGUACCAGAUCUGGGUUCUGAUCACUUAGCAAUGCUGAUUACGUUAGACUUGGAUACUAUAACUGAAGAGACUGUAGAAAGAAAAACUUUACAAUUUAAGAAAUGUAAGAUUGAUAAAGUGAAUGAAGAGAUGAACAACUUUAUAAACUCUCACAAACAAACAAAUAUGAAUGAAGAUUACAUCACAUUAUUCAAUAACAAACUCUCAGAAUGUAUCCUGAAAUAUACACCUACGACAAAACACCAUCCAUUUCUCCACGUUUUACCACCUUUUAUUGUGAAUAUGAUCAAGAAUAAACGGAAAUUGUAUAGAGAAUACAGGAACUGCCCUAAUCCUAAUUUCAAAACCAAACUGAAUGAAUACAAUACUAGUAUACACAAAAUGAUCAUGCAGUACAAACGUCAUAGGUGGACGGAAGCUUGUAAGUCAAUAAGAGAAGCCAAAGGGAAAAAUUUCUACAGACAAAUAAACAAACUCUCCAAGUACAAGAAAUUUCACAAGAUACCUACUAUUCUAGCCAACAAUAGAGAGUACAAAUCAGAUGAAGAAAAGGCGAACAUCUUUGCAGAACACUUCAAACAGGCAUAUCAAUAUGACAAUGACAUUAACUUUGAUAAUGAAACAGAAAGAAUCGUAGAAACUUGUUAUUUUGAUUACUUCAACAAUAACGAGCGGGAAAGGGAAUCAGAGCAAAUUGAGGAAGCCACGUACUAUGAAAUCCUACAUAAUACCAAAAAUAGUGCGCCAGGGACAGAUAAUAUUCCAUGGAGUAUCGUCAAACAAUUGAACCAACACAUACACGAACACAUAAUGAAGAUAUAUGAAUGGUGUCUGAAUAACCAAACCUUUCCAGAAAUAUGGAAAACUGGUACCAUCAUUCUAAUAGCAAAAACUAAUAAAGAUCAUAAAAAAGUAGAAAACUAUAGGCCCAUAACACUCUUGCCAGUACUAGGAAAGCUAUUAGAGAAAAUAAUUAAAGCUAAACUUGAGGAACACUUCAAAUAUUUCAUUCCCAAAUAGCAAUUUGGUUUCCGCAGAAAGAAAGCAACAGUUCACCCCCUCACAAUUUUCUUCUCAAAUCUACAAAAUGCACAAUUAAACAAUAGGAAAACUGCAGCAGUAUGUAUGGACACUAAUAAAGCAUUUGACAGCAUGUGGAUAAAGGGUUUACUAUACAAAUUGUUCAAGAAAGACACACCAUCAUAUCUUAUCCAUAUAAUAGGUUCAUACCUAAAGCAUAGAAGAUUGAAAAUAAAAAUUGGCGACUCAGAAUCUAACUUCUUCACUCCCAUGCAGGGUACACCUCAAGGAUCCCCACUCUCUCCUCUUCUAUAUAACAUAUAUUGCAGUGACAUUCCCACAAUCCAUAAUACCCAACAAUAUAUACUACAAUAUGCAGAUGACACUUUAGCAAUUUCACAUGGGAAAACAUUGAAAGACUGCAUGAAAAAUCUUCAAGAGCAUGUUAAUAACAUCACAUCAUGGUUUUCAAAGUGGAGAUUGAAGGUUGCUGAAACAACAUCCCUUCGAGCAAUAACCAAAAUGAGACAUCCAAACAACCGACUGCACAAUCCCCCAAAUCACCUUUUAUAUAGCAGAACCAAGGUAGAAGGGCGCCAACCAAGAGGGCGCAUUGAGAAACUCAACAAUAAAUUCAUACAUAGGCUAGAAGAAUUGGACGAUAUAAGUGAUCUCAUGCACGACGAACCAGCAGAUAACCCACGCAGAAAAUUUCCAACUUGCACUUUACUCCAAAAAUUAAGAAGUUACUUAAAUUCCUAAAGUACUCAUGUUUUUUUUUUUUUUUUGUAGAUAUUUAGAAAUGUAUUUCAACCCAAUAUGGGCUGAAGGACUUUGGUCGAUGGCCUGUUGAUAACAUAUCAAUAAAGAUCAGUUAUUAUUAUUAUUAUUAUUAAAUUUGUGAACGAAAAAUUUGGAAAUCGCAGAUUUCAGAUUGCUUUUUGUUGAGGAAAUCACGAUUUCACUGACAGAAUCACAUCAAUAACUUUAUCGCAUUAGAGAACUUAUUAUAUGUUCUGAAGCUGUUAUGCUUUUUUCCUUCUUCUCCGUAUGAAAAUUCAACUCCUCACCAACUGAGGUCUCAAUUAUUUCUACUAUCUUGAAAAUUGUCUAAAAAUGAUGCUGUUUUAAGGGUCUGUGUUCGAUGAUAUCCUUCCCAUUUUCUUUUUUUGUUGUGAAUAUAUGAACUUUCAAAAGUUGAUGUUUGGACUGAAUAUGUAAAUAAAAGAAGUCAACUUGGAAGAAGUGAAAUCUGACAAUUGAAAAGAUAUUUGAAUUGUUUGAUGUUUAGAUGGUGACCAGCCUGGCACAAUACAAAAGACACAAGAAGAAAAAUAUAUCAAUCAUAGAAUUCUAUGAUUGAAAUAAUGAAUCUAAUUUUAUCAAGAAAAUAAUUGAAUUUUGAACAAACGAUUGAAAAACUGCAAUCAAAGUUGCCUCUGUAAAAUUUUUACAUGACUACCAUAUUUAAGCGUUGUUUACAAAUACCUAGACAAGUAGUAACCAACCCUUUUCGAUUUGAAAAUUUAUCAAGAUAUUUUACAGUUAAUAUGACUGCUGUCGUCGACACCGAGCAAAUAAAAACCAAAUUAAUAAAUGAAUUAAGAGCUAGCCACGUGGAAGUCAGAGAUGAUUCUGGUGGAUGUGGAGCAAAUAUAACUUGCAUAGUUGUGGCUGAUAAAUUUGAAGGAGUACCUCUGUUGCAAAGACACAGGUGAUGCAUAUUAAUAAAUUUACACUGUUAUUUCUUCUAAAUACACCUUAUAUUAAUUCAAGAUUGGUCAACAAAAUCCUAAACGAGG